UACUAUCUUCUCCUCCUCAUCUCGCUUCCCCUGAGGUCCAGGCAGAGUGGAAUGGCAGGGAAAGUAUGGCCUGUGGGUCAGCAGACCUGGGUUCAGGUUUGGCUCAGCCUUUGCCAAUAAAUUGCUGUGGGACCCUGGACAAAGGCUCCCCACUCUGGGCCUCAGUUUCCUCAUAUAUAUAAAUGGAGACAGUUAGACCAGGAGCUAGUGAGGUCCUUUUUAGCUCUCACGCUGUGUAACUCUAGAGUGGCAGAUGGAAAUGCUUUGUUCCCUCCACCGCAGGUAACAGAGCCCAGGUGGAUCUGUUAGUCAUUUGCAUAUUUUAGGGAGGAAACUGCAGAGUGCCUUGCCUUUCCUAUAUUGCCAAUGUCUGUGUGGGCAGAAAGCUUGAAAACCCUCGGUGAAAGCUCAAUUCUUCCACUGAGUGGAACUGGUGGGAUUACUCAGAAAGUAAAUAUGCUGGGAAUGCAGGACAAGGAGGCCUGCCCAGCCUUCACAGUGCAUGUGUGGACAGCACAGCCACAGAAAGGACGUGGGAGCAGCCCGAUGGGCAGGGGUGGACAGCCCUGAGCAAAAGGUACAACUAUUGACAUUUUGAAAUAACUUUAUUUGAAGGUGUUUAGGACAAGUUUCUUAAAUAUUCUUUCCUAGAUUUUCAAGUCAGCCCGGGAAGAUGUAAGAAAGAUCUGAUCAUUUUAUAGCUAGAAAAAUUGAAGCACAAAGCAGUUAUGGCAUCUUGGGGUCAUGCCUCAAAUGCACGACUGGCUGGAGACUGCAACCUAAUAGUUCUGAUGUCAGUUGAGUAGAACUCAACCCAUAAUGUUGAAAAUCUCAUAACGUGAAAAAUAAAGGGUCAAGUUAAUUUAAGAGAAGCCCUUCAUUUCUGAUUUUCUCCAGUCCCUCCUGCACCCUCCACCUUGAAAUAAACCCCACUGCCCAAUACUCAGAGAGAGCAGAUCUGUGAGAAUAAAAUGCACUGAGAUCACUAAACAUUCUUUGUAAGUUCACAGUGAAAAACCACCACAUUCAAUUCUCUCGAAUUGGGGGUAGGAACGGGGUUCCGAGCAUGUCUCUGGUGGACCGCAUUUCUUGUCAGUAAUGAUUCGGUCUCUUAACAUAGUCCCAUCUUUUUUAUCAGAUGGCUGGAGACAUUUGCCAAUGCUGAAAAACUGCACAUAUGUGGAACUACUUGAUGUAAAGUAUUCCUGGGAGAGGCUGAUAUUUUUCCGAAACCAAAAGCUCACACUCAAUAUCAAUAUUUCUGAAACACAAGACCCCUGGAUUUUAGCGUGAAGUUAACAGAGGGAUUCAAAAAUUUACAAUCUGUCCACGUCCUCUGCACAGUGACGUUUCAAUAACUCCCAUGGCUCCUGACACAACAGCAGAGGUCUCCGAGCAAUUCCACCAGCCUGAGGACUCCCAGGUUGUUAGGUUCAAGUAAACCUAUGCUUCAAUGGAGACAGUACAGAGUUGUUUCGAAGUACCUCACUUUACUGAUAAGUCUAAGACCAGAGAGAUUACACACCUUCUUCCUAAAUUGGCACAGUAAAUAACAUACAAUAUACAAAAGACUUUGACAAUUAACCUGUAAUAAUUAUUACAUGGUCCUACCACAUAUGGCUGAUAUAACCUUCCACUGCUCAGGAGGAAUUUAAUUUCACAUCCAGACUACAAAAAGCCUGUGGUUGCCCCUUAGAUUGAAUUGUACAGAAUUACCACUUUAUAAGUGAAAGAUGAUUGAGUAUUGGCAAUUUCACGUUUAGGUUCAACCUAAAUAUGUACUUUUCUAAAUCAAGCCUCUUUCUUCUGACUCUCAUGGGGGAAAGCCUUGGGAAAAGCUAGGUGUAAUGUGCCACUCGCUGCCAGUGUCAGGAAAAUCUGCCUGAACCCAGGCAGUAAAGCUGUUUUUCUGGAAUGUCAGACAGGACUGUAUGGAUAGCUGCUGAUAAAAAACAAUGGUUUAGCGACCUGGGAGCCACCAUAACCCUGAAGUUAAAGAUCAAAUGGAAGAGCUUCAGGGAGUUUAUUAUGGAUAAGCACAUUACACACACAAAAAACCAAUUAAUCUCUCAGGUUAAAAAUUUUUUUUUGCUGGUGAAUCAAGGUGAUUCUUGGCAAGAGCCUAUUUUUCUUAAUUUCUGCAGCUAAAUUAGCUGGUGGAGCCAGCAUAUGUCUGGAUUAAUGUUGAAUAAUUGUAUUAAGUCAGUUUUUAAAAAAUUUCCAAUGAUAUUAAAUAACUAUGAAAUAUUCAUAGUCUAAAAAAAGUCUAUUUAAUGAAGCUUCAUUAAAUUACAUAGACGUAACAAAUAGAGUAUCAGACCAAAAAUACACAUAUGUAUUCUAUUAUUGAUAAAUCAUUACACAAAUGUAUAACAGUAGUUUUUUGGGUUGUUUUUUUUUUUAAAUCAUCACUAUCAUCAGGCCUGGCUAAAAUGACAGGAGCACUGGAAGUACUGUUCAUAUUCCUUUAGCUGAAAAGGAAAUUUCAAAAUUUCAAUUCCCAAGGCCAGUAAUUAUUUUUAAAAAGAAACAGAGGCAAUUAAGAAGUAAAUGAGAUUAAGAAUUUCUUCUGUGGAAGACUACAAUUUAAAAUCAUACUAGAUCCUAAACUAAAAACAAUGUCUGUAGCUAUCUGGAUUUGAAAAAAGACAAUUUUAGAAAAGCAGAUUGAGGGAAAAACAUAACAUUCAAUUCAAAAACAGACUGCAGGGGGAAAUGUCAGAAGCCAAUUCUCGAUCAAAAUACACUGUUAUCUCCCGAGACUUGUGGCCUGAGGGUGCUGUUGGUCUGUGCAUCUCCUUCUCUGUGAAGUGGAACUGCUUCCUGAUAAAAGACUUUGAAACCUCAAUAGCCACCUUCUCAUGGAGCAUUUCCAAGACCGGCCAGCCCGUGGAAUUCUUUUCGGAAGGAAAGCAGCACGGUGGAAUUGCAGAAUGUCACAUUAAAGUCGUUCCCAUAAAA